CGACGUAAAGAACUUGCCUCACAGCUAGGGACAACAUUUGGAAACGAAUGCUAAUACCUAAUAUUAUGAUAAUAGAGCAUCCUAUAAUUAUGAAAGCUAUAAGCGCUGUGAGAGAGCUUUGCGUCCCAUUAGCUAGUUGGAGAGGUAACGGCUCACCAAGGCGAUGAUGGGUAGCCGGCCUGAGAGGGUGAUCGGCCACAAGGGGACUGAGACACGGCCCUU
rnacentral:rRNA from 1 species